CCUACGGGAGGCAGCAGUGGGGAAUCUUGCACAGUGGAGGAAACUCUGAUGCAGCGAUGCCGCGUGAGUGAAGAAGGCCUUUGGGUUGUAAAGCUCUUUUGUAGGGGAAGAUAAUGACUGUACCCUAAGAAUAAGGUCCGGCUAACUUCGUGCCAGCAGCCGCGGUAAUACGAAGGGACCUAGCGUAGUUCGGAAUUACUGGGCGUAAAGCGCGCGUAGGCCGUUGAGUUAGUUAAUUGUGAAAUCCCAAAGCUUAACUUUGGAACUGCAAUUAAAACUGCUCGACUAGAGUUUGAUAGAGGAAAGCGGAAUACAUAGUGUAGAGGUGAAAUUCGUAGAUAUUAUGUAGAACACCAGUUGCGAAGGCGGCUUUCUGGAUCAACACUGACGCUGAGGCGCGAAAGUAUGGGUAGCAAAGAGGAUUAGAUACCCUCGUAGUCCAUACCAUAAACGAUGAUUGCUAGAUGUUGGAAAUUUAUUUUCAGUAUCGCAGCUAACGCAUUAAGCAAUCCGCCUGGGGAGUACGACCGCAAGGUUAAAACUCAAAGGAAUUGACGG
rnacentral:rRNA from 1 species